rnacentral:rRNA from 1 species
AGCUUCAGUAGCGUAUAUUAAAGUUGUUGCAGUUAAAAAGCUCGUAGUCGCAUUUCUGGCGAGAGGAUCCGGUCCGACCUUUUGGUGGGUUCUUGGGUCUUUUUCGCCAUCCUUGAGUGGUCCGUUCUGGCAUUAGGUUGUCGGAGCGUCAGCCGCUCAUCGUUUACUGUGAGAAAAUUAGAGUGUUCAAAGCAGGCUUAUGCCGUUGAAUAUAUUAGCAUGGAAUAAUAAGAUAGGACCUCGGUACUAUUUUGUUGGUUUGCGCACCAAGGUAAUGAUGAACAGGGACAGUUGGGGGUAUUUGUAUUUCGUUGUCAGAGGUGAAAUUCUUAGAUUUACGAAAGACAAACUGCUGCGAAAGCAUUUACCAAGGAUGUUUUCA